UACAGUUGCAGGAUUCUUCAUCUCCUUCCAUGAUGCUGAGUUCUGCUGGUUGGAGGGCAGGAGUGCCAACAACAACUAUUGGGUUUCCUCCUACUACUGAAGUGAAGGGCACAGAAAGACAAUGACAAGUCGCUGGGAUGACAGAUUCAGAUUACUAAAGGGAAAUCAGGUUGCUAGUACACAGUAGUGCUUAGAAAGUCUAUGCUGAAACUCAAAGACAACUUGUGCUAUUAAAGAAUUCAUGUGUUUACCUAUAAAGAAGUCCAGAAAUGCACAAUGGAGACAAAAUAAACAGCAUCUUCAACAAAUGGUGCUAGUUAACUUGGGCAGCCGCAUCUAGAAGAUCCAAAUAGAUCCAUACCUCUCACCACACACAAAACUCAACUCCAAAUGGAUCAAAGACUUCAACAUAAAAUCAAAUACACUGAACCUGAUAGAAGAGAACGUGGGAAAUAGCCCUGAACUCUUUGGCACAGAAAAAGACUUUCUGAACAGAACACUAUUAACAUGGUCACUAAGAUCCACAAUUAAUUAAUUGGACCUUGUGAAACUGAAAAGAUUCUGCAUGUCAAAGGACAGCAUCAUUCAGACAAAGUGGCAGCCUACAAAAUGGAAAAUGUUUUACCAACUACACAUUUAAUAGAGGGCUACUAUUCAAAAUAUAGGGAAAAAAUCUAAAAAAAAAAA
ensembl:lincRNA Gm11342 predicted gene 11342